GUAGGUGGCAAGCGUUGUCCGGAAUUAUUGGGCGUAAAGCGCGCGCAGGGCGGUCCUUUAAGUCUGAUGUGAAAGCCCACGGCUCAACCGUGGAGGGUCAUUGGAAACUGGGGGACUUGAGUACAGAAGAGGAAAGCGGAAUUCCACGUGUAGCGGUGAAAUGCGUAGAGAUGUGGAGGAACACCAGUGGCGAAGGCGGCUUUCUGGUCUGUAACUGACGCUGAGGCGCGAAAGCGUGGGGAGCAAACAGGAUUAGAUACCCUGGUAGUCCACGCCGUAAACGAUGAGUGCUAAGUGUUAGGGGGUUUCCGCCCCUUAGUGCUGCAGCUAACGCAUUAAGCACUCCGCCUGGGGAGUACGGCCGUAAGGCUG
rnacentral:rRNA from 1 species